CGGACGGGUGAGUAACACGUGGGUAACCUGCCUUCAAGAGGGGGAUAACAUUCUGAAAAGAAUGCUAAUACCGCAUGACAUAUCGGAACCACAUGGUUUUGAUAUCAAAGAUUUUAUCGCUUGAAGAUGGACUCGCGUCCGAUUAGUUAGUUGGUGAGGUAACGGCUCACCAAGACCGCGAUCGGUAGCCGGACUGAGAGGUUGAACGGCCACAUUGGGACUGAGACACGGCCCAGACUCCUACGGGAGGCAGCAUG
rnacentral:rRNA from 1 species